AUGCUCAACAAUUUUGUUUCAAAUGGGAGGAAUUGCGCCGGAGAUCUUGGCCAUAACACUAUCCAGAAGGUGAAUGGCACAUUGCGCAUGAUGGCAUAUGGUGUUCCGGCUGAUUUCAUUGAUAAUAACUUGACAAUGGGAAAGAGCACUUCAAUCUUGCGCGUCAAUAAAUUUGCGAAGGCGGUGGUUAAAGUGUUUGGAGCAGAGUAUUUGAGAGCAUCGAAUGCUCAUGACACUCAAAGAAUUUUGGAGAUGAACAAAACACGUGGGUUUCUAUGCUUGGAUCAAUUGAUUGGAUGCACUGAAGGUUGA
rnacentral:rRNA from 1 species